CCUACGGGAGGCAGCAGUGGGGGAUAUUGCACAAUGGGGGGAACCCUGAUGCAGCGACGCCGCGUGGGCGAUGGAGUGCUUCGGCAUGUAAAGCCCUAUCAGCAGGGAAGAAAAUGACGGUACCUGACUAAGAAGCCCCGGCUUAAGACGUGCCAGCAGCCGCGGUAAUACGGAUGGGGCAAGCGUUAUCCGGAUUUACAGGGGGGAAAGGGAGCGUAGGCGGCCUGGCAAGCCUGAGGUGAAAUACCGGGGCCCAACCCGGGGGCUGCCUUGGACACUGCCAGUCUGGAGUGCAGGAGAGGUAGGCGGAAUUCCUGGUGUAGCGGUGAAAUGCGUAGAUAUUAGGAGGAACACCAGUGGCGAAGGCGGCCUGCUGGACAGUGACUGACGCUGAGGCUCGAAAGCGUGGGGAGCAAACAGGAUUAGAUACCCGAGUAGUC
rnacentral:rRNA from 1 species